rnacentral:rRNA from 1 species
GACGAACGCUGGCGGCGUGCUUAACACAUGCAAGUCGAACGGAAAGGCCCUGCUUUUGUGGGGUGCUCGAAUGGCGAACGGGUGAGUAACACGUGAGUAACCUGCCCUUGACUUUGGGAUAACUUCAGGAAACUGGGGCUAAUACCGGAUAGGAGCUCCUGCUGCAUGGUGGGGGUUGGAAAGUUUCGGCUGUUGGGGAUGGACUCGCGGCUUAUCAGCUUGUUGGUGGGGUAGUGGCUUACCAAGGCCUUGACGGGUAGCCGGCCUGAGAGGGUGACCGGCCACAUUGGGACUAGGAUGGGGCCCAGCCUCCUACGGGGGGCAGCAGUGGAGAAUAUUACACAAUGGGCGGAAGCCUGAUGCAGAGACGCCGCGUGCGGGAUGACGGCCUUCGGGUUGAAAACCACUUUCGCCUGUGACGAAGCGUGAGUGACGGUAAUGAGUAAAGAAGCACCGGCUAACUACGUG